UACAGAGGUGCCGAGCGUUAGGCGGAAUCACUGGGCUUAAAGCGCGUGUAGGCGGGUCGUUAAGUGUCCGCGUGAAAUCCCACGGCUCAACCGUGGAACUGCCGGGCAUACUGGCGACCUUGAGGCACUCAGGGGCGAGCGGAACAAAUGGUGGAGCGGUGAAAUGCGUAGAUAUGCGGAGGAACACCGAUGGCGAAGGCAAUCCCCUGGGCCUGCACUGACGCUCAUGCACGAAAGCGUGGGGAGCAAACAGG
rnacentral:rRNA from 1 species